UGGCGGCGUGCUAAUACAUGCAAGUCGAGCGGACAGAUGGGAGCUUGCUCCCUGAUGUUAGCGGCGGACGGGUGAGUAACACGUGGGUAACCUGCCUGUAAGACUGGGAUAACUCCGGGAAACCGGGGCUAAUACCGGAUGCUUGUUUGAACCGCAUGGUUCAAACAUAAAAGGUGGCUUCGGCUACCACUUACAGAUGGACCCGCGGCGCAUUAGCUAGUUGGUGAGGUAAUGGCUCACCAAGGCAACGAUGCGUAGCCGACCUGAGAGGGUGAUCGGCCACACUGGGACUGAGACACGGCCCAGACUCCAACGGGAGGCAGCAGUAGGGAAUCUUCCGCAAUGGACGAAAGUCUGACGGAGCAACGCCGCGUGAGUGAUGAAGGUUUUCGGAUCGUAAAGCUCUGUUGUUAGGGAAGAACAAGUACCGUUCGAAUAGGGCGGUACCUUGACGGUACCUAACCAGAAAGCCACGGCUAACUACGUGCCAGCAGCCGCGGUAAUACGUAGGUGGCAAGCGUUGUCCGGAAUUAUUGGGCGUAAAGGGCUCGCAGGCGGUUUCUUAAGUCUGAUGUGAAAGCCCCCGGCUCAACCGGGGAGGGUCAUUGGAAACUGGGGAACUUGAGUGCAGAAGAGGAGAGUGGAAUUCCACGUGUAGCGGUGAAAUGCGUAGAGAUGUGGAGGAACACCAGUGGCGAAGGCGACUCUCUGGUCUGUAACUGACGCUGAGGAGCGAAAGCGUGGGGAGCGAACAGGAUUAGAUACCCUGGUAGUCCACGCCGUAAACGAUGAGUGCUAAGUGUUAGGGGGUUUCCGCCCCUUAGUGCUGCAGCUAACGCAUUAAGCACUCCGCCUGGGGAGUACGGUCGCAAGACUGAAACUCAAAGGAAUUGACGGGGGCCCGCACAAGCGGUGGAGCAUGUGGUUUAAUUCGAAGCAACGCGAAGAACCUUACCAGGUCUUGACAUCCUCUGACAAUCCUAGAGAUAGGACGUCCCU
rnacentral:rRNA from 2 species